GCCUCGUGCGGCGCUCGGGCCGGAGCUGUUCCCGCACAGUCACGUGGCGGCAGGCGUUGGCCACAAUUUCAGGCCGUGGCUGUGUUAGGGACGCUCGCAGGACGUUGCAAGACCACGUCUUCCGAAAACGAGGAUCGCUCGGUCUGUGAAGAAAACUUUCGGGACACAAGCAUGUACCGAAGGCGCCAUGAAAAACGACCGAAUGGAUUCAGCGUAAAAAGUCAUCUAUUUGGAGGGACCCUGCCAUCGGUGUCAUUGUGGGAAGCCGAGUGAGGCACGACAAUUGGGAGGCGUACGUGUAACGCUGGCGUCACAACAGUUUCAGCCGCUGUUUUCAGGUGUCUGCCCGGCUUCUGUUCUGUCCUGCUUCCUACGCUGUUCCACGACAGGAAGUCAGAAGAAAAUGGGCCUCAAGACCACGUUUGGCUUAUAUGCCGUGGAGAGGACUCCUCAAUCUGGACAUUUAUUCAGAUUUUCAGAUAAGAGCCAGGCCCUGUGCCUUUCUGUCUCCUCAGAGUCACAGUUGAUAUUAAAAACUACUUGACAGCA